UGUUUAGGUAGUUUAAACAAAACGUUGUGUUUUCAUCACAAAAAUAAAAUUUUAUUUUCUUAAAU
rnacentral:tRNA from 1 species